AACGAACGCUGGCGGCAUGCUUAACACAUGCAAGUCGAACGAAACCUCCGGGUUUAGUGGCGCACGGGGUCGUAACGCGGGGGAACCCGCCCUUAGGUUCGGAACAACUCCCUGAAAGGGGUGCUAAUACCGGAUAAUGUCAUCGGACCAAAGAUCUAUCGCCUUUGGAUGGGGUCGCGUUGGAUUAGCUAGUUGGUAGGGUAAAAGCCUACCAAGGCGAGGAUCCAGAGCUGGUCUGAGAGCAGGAUCAGCCACACUGGGACUGAGACACGGCCCAGACUGGUAGGGGAGGCAGGGGAGGGGAAUAUAGGGGAGGGAGCCAGAGCCUGAUCCAGCGAGGCCGGGUGAGUGGUGAAGGGGUUAGGAUUGUAAUGCUCUUUUAACCGAGAUGAUAGUGACGGUACCGGGAGAAGAAGCACCGGCUAACUACGUG
rnacentral:rRNA from 1 species